UUCAUACUAUGAAUAUGAAUACCAAACAGGUAGAAGAAUCAACGCCGCCGUGCACGGCGGAGGAAGGGAAGUUUUCUGGUGAUGGAGAUGGUGAAGAUGAAGUGGUGGAGUGUGAGCUGGAAGCAGCACAAACGUUGGCUUAUUUGGCUGGUCGCUCUGAGGCAUUGGUCAUAUGCGUAUGUAUAUUCUUUAGAUGAAAAAAUAGCUCUUAAUCUUAGUCACAAAAUGAGGUGAGUUAGGAGUCUCUUUUCCUUAGAUGAAAAAAAUAAUACUAGAGUAGCUUUUAUUUUUGCAUUUGUUGUAAUGACAAUGUGGUGCCUUUCUUGUAUUUUAUUUUCUUUUUACAAUU